rnacentral:rRNA from 6 species
UAAGAUAGGCUAAAUUGGACGGGAGAUUCGAAAGAGCGAAGAAGAAGCUU